rnacentral:rRNA from 1 species
UACGUAGGGCGCAAGCGUUGUCCGGAAUCAUUGGGCGUAAAGAGCUCGUAGGUGGUCUGUUACGUCUGCUGUGAAAACCUAGGGCUUAACCCUGGGCCUGCAGUGGAUACGGGCAGACUAGAGGUAGGUAGGGGAGAAUGGAAUUCCCGGUGUAGCGGUGAAAUGCGCAGAUAUCGGGAGGAACACCGGUGGCGAAGGCGGGUCUCUGGGCCGAUAUUGACGCUGAGGAGCGAAAGCGUGGGGAGCGAACAGG